CACCCGGUGGGCUUAACCCACACACGCGUCGACACGCCUAUCCUGGGUGCUCGCAAGAGUUGGAUAGCGGGACGUGUGGAGGCCUAAC
rnacentral:sRNA from 1 species